rnacentral:rRNA from 1 species
CCCUUAGACGUUCUGGACCGCACGCGCGCUACACUGACGAAGGCAACGAGCUUUCCUUUACCGAAAGGUACGGGUAAUCUUUUGAAACUUCGUCGUGCUGGGGAUAGAUCCUUGCAAUUUUUGAUCUUAAACGAGGAAUGCCUAGUAAGCGCAAGUCAUCAACUUGCGUUGAUUACGUCCCUGCCCUUUGUACACACCGCCCGUCGCUACUACCGAUUGAAUGGUUUAGUGAGGCCUUCGGAUCCGCGACUCGUUUUGUGGAGAAGUUGGACAAACUCAGUCAUUUAGAGGAAGUAAAAGUCGUAACA